AUUGAACGCUGGCGGCAUGCUUUACACAUGCAAGUCGAACGGUAACAGGGUGCUUGCACCGCUGACGAGUGGCGAACGGGUGAGUAAUGCGUCGGAACGUGCCGAGUAGUGGGGGAUAACGCAGCGAAAGUUGUGCUAAUACCGCAUACGUACUGAGGUAGAAAGUGGGGGACCUUCGGGCCUCACGCUAUUCGAGCGGCCGACGUCUGAUUAGCUAGUAGGUGAGGUAAAGGCUCACCUAGGCGACGAUCAGUAGCGGGUCUGAGAGGAUGGUCCGCCACACUGGGACUGAGACACGGCCCAGACUCCUACGGGAGGCAGCAGUGGGGAAUUUUGGACAAUGGGCGAAAGCCUGAUCCAGCCAUGCCGCGUGUCUGAAGAAGGCCGUCGGGUUGUAAAGGACUUUUGUCAGGGAGGAAAUCCCUAGCGUUAAUACCGCUGGGGGAUGACAGUACCUGAAGAAUAAGCACCGGCUAACUACGUGCCAGCAGCCGCGGUAACAC
rnacentral:rRNA from 1 species